rnacentral:rRNA from 1 species
UGGGGAAUAUUGGGCAAUGGGCGAAAGCCUGACCCAGCGACACCGCGUGGGUGAUGAAAGCCUUCGGGUUGUAAAGCCCUUUCGUGCGGAAAGAACUGUUCCGCGGUUAAUACCCGCGGAAUUUGACGGUACCGCAGGAAGAAGCACCGGCUAACUCCGUGCCAGCAGCCGCGGUAAUACGGAGGGUGCGAGCGUUGUUCGGAAUUAUUGGGCGUAAAGGGCGCGUAGGCGGUUGUGUAAGUCAGAUGUGAAAUACUCCGGCUUAACCGGGGAACUGCGUUUGAAACUACACAGCUAGAGUACAGGAGAGGGAAAUGGAAUUCCCGGUGUAGAGGUGAAAUUCGUAGAUAUCGGGAGGAACACCAGUGGCGAAGGCGAUUUCUGGCCUGAUACUGACGC